GAUGUCAACCUGGAAAAGUUUUGGGAGGCCAUGUCCUGUGAUAUGAUUUGUCGCGGAUUUGUUGCAAGUGGUAGACACAAUCCAUGUGCGGUAUCACCAUCAUACCAUAUUUGGGCCCCUUGGAUAGGGAAGCACACACGGAAUUCAGACUCUGUACUAAACACAGAGUUCGAAAAGAUUCAUGUUUCGAAGUCUGUAUCUGAAAUUUCUGAAAUUACGGUUACAGAGGACAGACUCAGAGAAGAACUAUAC